UACGUAGGGAGCAAGCGUUGUCCGGAAUCAUUGGGCGUAAAGCGCGCGUAGGUGGCUUCAUAAGUCCGUUGUGAAAGUCAAAGGCUCAACCUUCGAAAGCCGAUGGAUACUGUGAAGCUAGAGUACGGAAGAGGCGAGUGGAAUUCCUGGUGUAGCGGUGGAAUGCGCAGAUAUCAGGAGGAACACCAAUAGCGAAGGCAGCUCGCUGGGACGUUACUGACACUGAGGCGCGAAAGCGUGGGGAGCGAACAGG
rnacentral:rRNA from 1 species